rnacentral:lncRNA from 1 species
AGAGAAACAAGAUCACAAAUUUACCUAGCUCAAGAAUUAAAUUAUUGACUUACUAUUUUUAUAAUUGUGUUCUGCUUUUACAUGUCAUCUUUCAAAUUAUACUUAUUUAUAAGGAAGAAUCAUUAUAUAUUUAAGGGCUGGGACUUUGAUGCUCUUUUCUCCCCUUCAUUUCCUUGAAAGUUUCUAGGAGCUAAUACUGUGUCCAGAAUUG